CAGGAGUGGCUGGACACUGCAUCUAUCACACCAGAUAUCAGGAGAGGCAGAGCAGAUGCUGCAUGCUUUCAGAGGUUUCCAAAGAUAGCCAGGUUGCUGCAGCCAUAAAGAUCUCCAGGAUAACUGUAGACAAAAGGAGUUUAUGUUGUUUUUCACAAGUUGUAAUCUAUCCAAUUAAUAUUAAGGAGCCUUUCUACAUGAACUGUCAAUGGAGGAGAAGUCAAGCAAAGGGGACUUGCUGCCUGCCACGUCUGCCUCCUGCUGUGAAAUCACAACAAUGCAACCAGGAAUAGCUGAGGCAGAAGCUCAAAUGUGCUUUAGAAACCUGUGGCCCGAUGCAGCACUUGAAAUUUUCAUGCAGCUGUGGGCUGGAGUGCUGUGGGAGAAAUAAAAGCAGGAGGAAUCCCA
rnacentral:lncRNA from 13 species